rnacentral:rRNA from 1 species
ACGGGAGGCAGCAGUGGGGAAUAUUGCACAAUGGGCGAAAGCCUGAUGCAGCGACGCCGCGUGAAGGAUGAAGGUUUUCGGAUCGUAAACUUCUAUCAGCAGGGAAGAAACAAAUGACGGUACCUGACUAAGAAGCUCCGGCUAACUACGUGCCAGCAGCCGCGGUAAUACGUAGGGAGCAAGCGUUAUCCGGAUUUACUGGGUGUAAAGGGUGCGUAGGCGGCCUGGCAAGUUAGAAGUGAAAUUUUGGGGCUCAACCCCAGAGCUGCUUCUAAAACUACCGGGCUAGAGUGCAGGAGAGGAAAGCGGAACUCCACGUGUAGCGGUGAAAUGCGUAGAGAUGUGGAGGAACACCAGUAGCGAAGGCGGCUUUCUGGACUGUAACUGACGCUGAGGCACGAAAGCGUGGGGAGCAAACAGGAUUAGAUACCCUGGUA